GGGUCAAUGAUGACAACAAAAGUCAAGAACAGGAGGAUGACAUAAAAUACAUGCUCAAUAGGAUUACGCUGAGGCCC
ensembl:snoRNA LOC120100272 small nucleolar RNA SNORD115